rnacentral:lncRNA from 10 species
AAGAAUAAGGUUGAAGUGAUGCUGCCCAACUUCUAAACCCAGUUCCUAAAAGUUUCAUCAGUGUAUAGAAGGAAAGAGAUGAAAUCACCAAAAGAAAGACUGACAAUAACAAAGAGAGGUCUCAGGACUAAGCCUCCUGAAGAAUGGGAUUCCCUAGAUGGAUAGGAUGGUCCCACGGAGAUUGUCAAGAGUCACGAAGUACGAGUGGAAAACAAUUUCUACUGUAGCAACAUGGAGUCAGAACAAGAUGGAAAUCGAAGAUUGGCUGUUGGACGUGGUAAAGUGAAAGUCCUGUGAACACUGAAAAGAAGCAGGUUUGAUGGAGCACUGGGGUGUUUGAUUGGAGUGUGUUCAAGAAAGAAUGUGGGGGAAGAGUGUGGGUGGCUUUAGCAAGAAGAUUUGUUGUUGAGGGGAGCAGAGACAGCAGGCAGCAAUGGAAGAAAUAGAAGGCCUGUUUUGAAUUUAAGAUGAGAUGAUGUCUGUACGUAGAUGUGAGGCAGAAACUGAUGAUGCAGUUAUCAUCAGAAAAGAAUGAAUUGCUAGAGCAAAAUCUUUGAGUAGGCAAGAGGUUAUGGCAAAGAGUAUAGAGAUCAGUAGAUUUAUGGUGGUCAGAUAAGGCAGAUCAAAGUUUUCAUUAUAUUGCUUUAUUUCUUAAUGAUGU